GUCCUUGUAGGAGAGGUACUAUGUCCCUCCUCUGGAUCUGCUCCAAGAGCUCUGCAUCUUUCUCGUGCUGGGAGCUCCAGACCUGGAUGUGUGCAGGAAUGCUAUGGGAAUGAGAAGUGCUUGUCAGCUUUGAAUGUUAUUCAUCUGCAUAUCUAAUGAUUUUGAAAUACUGUUUAUAGAGCUGCAUGUUAAGGAUCAGACUCCACCAGUGACUGUGGGGUUCAUGUCAACUCGGUAUUUCUUCCAACCAAAGAACAAAAUUGGUUCCACCUGGAGUUAUCAGAUCUGAUUGCUAACUGAAGAACCUGAAAACAACAGAACAACCGGUGCUGUAGAUCUGUUAUGAGGAAAAUCCAAGUUCUGAUCCUGGAAGGCAGGAUAUCAGAUUCCAAGUGCUCAUUUGGACCUGUGCUUGUCUUUGGCAUGUCUCCUGACCGCACAUGAAGAAUUUUAAGGUGAAAAACUGAUUUCAGGCUCUUCCAUUAUGUACUCGACAGGUCUACUGGGGAGACUAGGAAAAUGACCCAAAAAAGCAAAAUAGAAAACUUCAGAAAAUUGUGAGAAAACAUCACACAUGUAGUUCUUAGAAUAUGAAUCUGGAUGAGACCUUCUGGGUUAUUGAAUCCUGUGUGUUUACUGUUUUAGGCAUUUAUCAUAUAUAUAUAUGUGGUUCCUUUUUAAGUGGUUAUCAAAAGAUAAUAGAACAAUAAUAAUAAUAAAAAAAUUCUCCCAGUAAAACAAGCUUAAUUGCAUGGUGUAGUUCUAUACAAACCAUUUUAAAAAUAUAUAAGAAUAUAUUGUAUGUCAUAUUUAAAAAUAAAAUUACU
rnacentral:lncRNA from 7 species